AGCUUGAUAUUGCACUUUCCAUUACUUUUGGAAGUUUGUUUCUCCUGUAAGUAACUAAUCCAUUCUUUAUCAUUCUUCCCUAAAAUAUUUCCAGUGUUUUCUUUAUUACAGCUCCUGUAAUUGCUCAUGUUUAGAAAGAUGUGGUAACCUAAGUUAAAUUUUGUGUGUUUUGUGGUAAGAAAACCCCCUGCCCCUUCCCCUCUCAUGAAUACCAGAAUUAUCACAAAGGUAAGCUCCAUGAAUAAUGUAUAUAGACCAAUUAAAUGAAACUGCUGUACUGGUUCUCGUGGGAGGUAUCUGGUGGCAGUGGCAGUAUGUUUUGACACCUGAAGCCUGCCACAUGUAGCUACUUGUAAUGUUUUGAAUCCUAUGAAUUUAUGUAUUUUGUUUUCAAGCAAAUAUUCUAAUUGUAAUUCUAAAUUAUGAGUGUCUGAAUUUGUUUCUUUGCAUUUGCUGAGGCUGUAAAAUAACUUACAUUGCCAACUUUCAAUGAAGUGUAUUUGGCCUGACUAAUAUUGGAUUCACUUAAGAGGUAGAAGUAAAAUAGUCCUAGUGAAAGUUUCCAUCUGUGAAAAGACAUAUUGAUUUGAUAUCUCCAUUUCAAUAGGAGUAAUGUAUUGAAAACAAUAGGCUUUUAAACAUUUUACUGAAGUUGCUGCAAUCAUGUCGGAUGGGAAAAUCUAUUGCUUUGUGAACAUGACUCCAUCACUGUUUGAGAAAUAUUAAAGAUAUGUAAAGCUGCAUCAGUCAUAUAGCUGGAAGAGUAAAGUGAGCACAGGUGCUGAGAUGUCUAGUUCACUGCAGCCUUGCCAGCUCUGCUCCAAAAACAGUACACAGAGAAAUCCUUGCUCUCCUUGAACUUCCAGUCCUGAGCAGGUAAGUCUGUUCAGUGUAGCCUUACUUAACUGUUCAGAUCCCCAAUCUGCUAGGAACCUGUAACUACGCUCUUCAUGAGCUUAAACCAGAUAAUCCACAAAAUCAAUUUGUUCUCUCAAGAAGACAUCUUGAGAUGAAAAGCUGAAAUUCAGCUUGCUUAUAGUUAUUAAACCACAUAUGGUGCUUUUUAGAACAGCCAAUGGACAGAACAGCCCAGAGUGGGAUUUUUGAAAAGUGCUUAAGGCAUUUAGGAGCAUAACUAACACUAAAAGUCUAUGGGAUUUACGCUCUUACACACCUCUGGCAAUUGGUAAAAAAUUCCAAUUUCAGCAGAUAGUACUCUGGACUGUUAUUGGGGCUUAAGUUCUGUUGAUUCAGCUCUGACCUGCUGCUGUGGACCUGCUGUUUCAGCUCUCUCUGUGACACUCAUCUUAUAUUGGCCUAUUUAGGCAGGCAUUUUCAAUGACCUCUGGACUUAUAUCAUGCAAUGGAAUGCCCAUAUCUCCCUGGGUCUUUCUUUUGAAAAGAUCAGCUUUGGGUUGCACAGUUUCAUGAAGUGAAGACUAUGUCUCUAAUAGCUUUAUGAUGGGUAUAGCAUAGACCUGGGUUUUGAUUGUGGCAUCUGAAUAAAGCUACAAUUCAAACAACCAUAUUAUUUUCUUCAUGAGAUUAAUAUGCUCUGUGAAUGUCUAGACUUCUAUUUUCUUUCAUAGAAUCACUUUAAUUGCAGGUAACUUUUUUGUUAUAGCCUAAAGUUUUUUGUGCUUUAUGUCCCAUUACCAUACUAAUGGUCUAUGGAUCCAUACUCAUACAGAAGAAUAAAUCUCACUUGAGCGUUAAUAUAAUAGAGAACACAUAAUGGCAUAUAUAAUAUUUCAUUCUAGGUCACUACCUUGAAUUUGGCUCCAAAAUUGUUGGCAAACCUGACAGUUCUGUGUUGUUCUAUGUGAACACUGUUGAUUCUGCCCUAAGUGGUCAUAUUGAAAAAAAAAAAAAAAACACAGCUCCUUGCGCUGUUCUGAAAAUACACUUAAUCUUGACGUAAAGAUACAUUAAGAAACUUGUUUGCAUGUUUCCUUCAUCCACACUCUCUGGUCUUUGCCUGUGCAUUUUAAACCCCAAAGACUUCAGUGAAAGGGUUCUCUCUCUCUCUGUCCUGUUAGCACAGCAUCUAGCGCAAUAGCCACUAUUCUUAUCUAAUUUCUGCCAUAAUCUGUGAAGCUGGACAUUGGUCUUAGGUUUGCAGGUAUAUUUUUCAAACUAACAAGUAAAUACAGUUUUAGAAUAACUAAGUAGGGAAUAGAGGUUAGAACAUCAACUGAGAACUUAUUUGUGGAAUAAUUAAUAUAAUUCAAAUAUUGGCUGAGAAACUCAAAAACGGAGGGUGAAAAAAAAGCCCCACACAACAACAACAAAAAACCCAAACCAAAACAAAAACCAGGAGAAAACCUAACAAACAAACAAACAAACAACCCCACAACAAAAAUAAACCCAAAACAAUCAAAACCCAUACUUUGUCCACUCCUAUACUUCCCUAACAGACAGUCUGUCAAAGGAAACUGUGCAAUCCGACUAUGACCCACAGGUUACAUGCUCAGUUUCCUUUGUCCCAAUCUUUCAUGAAACAAGGAAAAUAUUUGUGCAUAAUUUCAGCAUAUUAAGAUAAGGAGUAGGUUUUACUUCUUCUCAGAAUAGCAAGAGACGUCUUUAUUUUACACAGAUCCUAAGUAUGCAGAAAUCGUGAAGCGCUGCUACACCUGAUGGUCAGAGCAUAGUUGUAUUUUGCACUUAGAAGCAGAAGAGCUGCAUAUGCAAAGUUUUCACAAAUGGCUCAGAAUUUUAGCUUAUUUUUCUUCUUCACAAGCACACAGCCUUGAAUUAAAAGCAGUUCGGUAAACACUAGCAUUAAAAGAAGAUUAAAUAUUUGAGCCUCCUUGUUAAUUGCAACUUUUGAUUAAGCUUUUCCUUGAAGUUGGCACCUACAGGAUCAAUAUUGUUUACUUCUGGAGAAAUUUAAAAGGGAUGUACAAAAUGAGCCAGUAAUAUCAGCGACCUUAUUAGGUGAAGCCUGCUGGAACUGAGCAUUAGCAUAGGGCAAUUCUGGAAUCUCUGGUUUUGUAGAUACUUUCUUAAAUGAAAGAGACAAAGUAAACUAAUUUCUCAACAUUUAGAUGAGUCGCUGUGUCACUGUCACCCUUUUAAGAACAGGGAAGCUGAAAGAAUUUAUGUGCGGAAGAACUACAUUUGUUUAUCCCUUCUUAAAAAGCCACAAAUACUGUAUUUUUCAAAGACUUAGAAGUUAACUUUAUUUUCAAGCCAAUGGAUUACUCUCAAAUCAUUAAGCUACUCUGUUGUAUAUUAUCUUCUGUUUGGGGCUUUUGUGUGGUUAAGCAUAUGUCAAUUUCUUGCCCUAAUUUUUUUUACUGUCAAGGGCAACAGAAGGGUGUUUAUGCUUGUUUGUUUACAUUCAAAUGUAAAUGUCAUGAAGGAUAUACAGCCAAGCACAAAGCACACACUUUGGUGUAUGAACUGUACCAUUGCACUGUAUACACCUUGAACAUCACACGCUGACAUUACUUUCAGUUUUUUAAAGAAACCUGUACUUUUAUUUUAUGUUGACAGCUAUUUUCACAGUCGGUUUUGUCAGAAUUCUAACAGUGCUUUAGGUCUGCCUAUAGAUUAUUGUUACUGAUGUUACAGUUUUGCUGAUGAGAAACAGUUUGAUAGUUUUUUCCCAACAAUUAAUUUUUUUUCAAAAUUUCAUAAAAGAUAAAUACAGUGAUUACAUGUAAUAAUUAGCCUUGUAUAAUGAAUGGAGAAUUUUAAGAUUAAUAAAUAGGUGAACAUGAGCCUGAUAACCUGCUUAAUUAAUCACUAAGCUGUGGAACCAGUGCAAUUCAUACGUCAAUCCAGGCUCUUUUAUAGAAGUGAUUUGAAUCAGUUGCUAAUGAAAUUGCAAAAUUUAGAAGUAGCUUUCUGACUUUCAAGUGACAGGGCUCAUAUUUAACUCAAGAAAUGUGACAGUUAAUGACAACAUAAAAGUCCUGUGAAUUAUUUGCCAGAUCGUGUGAGAAUUACAGCAUCAAUCUAUUGGAAUAGCUUGUAGCUGAUCAGUGUGAAAAUAAACAGUCAUAAUGACAUAUUUAGAAAUCUAUGGUGCUGCUUAAAAUAUGAGUCUGCCUGAAAUAAAACAAGGACAUAAUCCUACAAGUCUAACAAUAAUAUUUCAAUUGUCUUGCUCCACGAUAUAGACAAAUUUACUCUUACUAAUGUUAAAACUGUAAUCCUUUAUAAAUUAUAAUUAUCUUUAUUAAAUCAAUUACUUUAAACUGCCAAAGUAGUUUCAUGGCUCAUUCUUCUUUUUUAAUGUAAUUAACAUGCUUACUCUUACUCAUUCACUUGAAUUUAAAUGAUUCUGCCAUUGAAUUUGUUUCCUUAACUUUGCACUUACAGCCACACUUUAAUUAAUUAAAACUUCAUCCAGAUAUAAUGAGACAGUUAUUGUGUGUUAAUGAAAUAUCACUGGAAAGUGCACUAAUCAAUAAUUAAUUUAAUUAAGGUGUAUAUGAGACAAUAUUGCCAUAUAAUUAACUGAAAACCACGUAAGUAACACAUGCAUAUUUAAAUUUUCAUUAAUAAGUUUGUUAGGAAUUUUAGAUCGUGCUGGUUUAUGGAUUUACAUGAGAUGUAUAAAAUUAAAGUGUUUGUCAAAGAGAUUCUGAAAUACACAUUAAAGGUAGUCCUGAAUCAUUUAGACAGUCACGUAGCAAAUGUAGGCAAUUGAAGCCAUACUAAGAAUGGGAGUGUGCCUUCUUGGAAACGAGGUAGAAAUCUGCAGGAGAUUUCUUUUAACCUUUGAAAGUCAGACAUGUAAAAAACCCUAUGAGAUGAAGUUACAUGUGAGAAAGCAUAUUCUAUACUUGAAAAAUGUGCCUUAGAAAGGAUUAUGAAUAAUGAAAGUAUUUUUGCAAUUCCACAGCUAAAGCUGGAUCAUCUCACUAACAUGCUGUUCAGGCACCCUACUUAUUAAGGACUAUGUUCUAUUAAUAUUGAUGAAGUUAUCUCCUUUGCUUAUUGUUAAUUAUUUUUUAUGAGAAUUUACCAAUAUAUCUGCUAUUUAAAGGUGCUACUAAUUUGAUACAUUUCUGAGUGGGGUAUCCCAGUGAAUAUUGUGUUGGUUGUUGCUUGUUACAGGCUGCAGGCUUUGUGUUAAGCUCUCAACAGAGACCUUAGGCUGUGUCAGGACCUCUCUGGACUUAUUUUGGCCUGCCUGGUGAAUUGUUUUAGCUUGUAACAGCUUAUCUAACAAUUGGGUGGUUAUUUUUCUGAUUUCUUUUAAAUUUUAGUACAAUUGUGGUUUAAUUCUUAUUUUUGUAUAUAUUUUUGUAACAGUUAGACAACAAUAGCAAGUAAUUAUUCAUUGUAGGAUGAACCACCUAUGACCCUAGAAUAAAAUACAGCAGGGAUGAAUCUUCACUCAGAAGGUGCAUCUUCACCAGGUGACUAAGCAGGACAGCACAGGUACUGACCUGGAAUGGUGCCAGGACUGCAAGUAACUCACCAGCUAGUUGUUGCACAGGAAUGCACCUUUGGGAGGGAGAAUGAAACCAAUCUGAGGACCAAAAAAGGGAACAAAGAACUACAUAAUCGAGCCUUUCUCUCUAUAUAGUAAAUUCAGAUGUAACAUGAAGUUUCUAGCCAACGAAGAAAGAGAAAGAUGUGAAAAAAUUUUAGGACCAAAGCUCAUCCCCAAGUUAAUCUUAGAAUAAGGAAAAAAAUAAUCAAUAUUAACCUCAUGCCACUCACAGCAAAAAGAAAAAAGGAACACCUACCAUUAAUAUCUUACUGGUAACAUGAAAAUCUUGUGGUAAUACAUCCUGAUGACAUAAAUCCUUAAUUUCAGUAAGUAUGAUAGCAGAGAAAGGGGUUAGAUAUGAGGAGUGUGUAUAAUAAUUUCAACUGCAUUAUUAUUAUUAUUAAGUUAUAUUCCAUAAUAUUAUUAUUUUUUCCUUUUUUCUAUCCUUUUCUGUAAUAAUAAGUCUUGAGCUAACAGUAACUCUUUAAUUAGACUGUUAUUAGUUUAGUUAGACUAUUUAUUAAUUCCUGGUUUCAUACGCAAAGAGAAUGGUCUUUUUGCACAUAAAAAAUCUUUUGAGUAUAACAACUGAAAAAGAAGGUUACAUCAAACACAGACAAAAUAAAAAUUCUCCUGAAUAUCAGUGAUGUCUCCUAAAAGAUGGAAUCUUGAUAUCUUGUGCCUCACCCAGACUCCCCAAACUUUCAUGGGGCUUCAUGGCAACAGAAGUGGAAAGAGAAUUACACUUCCACUGACCUGACACUAAAUAUUUCGGCUCAGUUCCAUGAGCUGCAAUUUAGAUCCCUUUGAGGCAGACCUAGUGAUUCUAUUGUAAAUUGUAAUUCUAUUGUAAGAUUUUGUGGGAAUUUGUGUUUUGUUUGGUUUGGGGUUUUGUUUGUUUGUUGGUUUUUUUUGUUUUGUUUUUGUUUGUGUGUGUGUGUUUGUUUUUGUUUUGGGGGCUGGGUUUGGUUUUGUUUGUUUGUGUUUUGGGUUUCUGUUAUUGUUUUUUGUUUUGGACCAUAAACACUUGAAGGGCUUAUGAUUUAAAAGAUCAAGUUUCAAUGAGAAAAAUACAUUUUAGGGCAAUUUUUUUUUUUUUUUUUGCUUGUUAGAAGCAAUCUGGCAGAAAAUACCUGACUCAGUUCUAUUAACAGUACAACAUUCUUACAGAAAGCUAAACACUACUACAACAUACACAACUAACAGAUACAAGUCCAUAUCAGUAAAUAAGUGAGCUGAAGUAGUUUUUAAAUAAGUAUUUGGAGGUAACGUAAAUACUUUCUCCCAAGAAUUAGCUCAAUCCUGCUUUGUAAGGAAACCAUAACACAGCGUGUUACAUUUACAAUAUCAAAUUAGAGUAAAAUGAGGUUUUCAAAAAUAAUUUAUAUCAGUUCAGAAUAAAGGUGAUAUUUAUUUUCAUGCUUUACAAAUAACAUCUUUUGUUUCAGGAAGAAAAGCAAGCAUGUGGUAAAAAAUAAAAAAUCUUAACAUCGUGGGACUUUAAAAUGAAAUUUAAAGAUACCUGUUUGGUAUUAUGAAAUAAGUGCAUGCCAACCUUUUACCAUUUAUUGUACAGGUGAGGUGCUUUUCUUAGCUGAGUUCAGGUUUCACCUGUAAGAAGGGAGAGUUUUCAGAUUUACCUCUUUCUGAAAGAGAUCUUCAAGAGGUAGGGAGAAUUAAUUGUUCUCAGUAGCUCUCUUUAUAUCUUGGUUUUGGAGAGAGACUUGACAACUAGCUUACAGUUUCUGGCUGAUUUUGAAUAGCUUAUAUUAGUUGAGAUGACUUUUCACCUAUAUUGCUUGCAUGGUCAGUGUGUGGUUGGAAGGAAUUUAAGUUAACUACAGCUGGGAUAUUUUUUUAAGUUAUUUCAUGUUGGUGUAAUAGCUUGAACAAUAGCUUUAAAAACUACUGGCCUUAUUUCUCAGGCCAACUGCUGUGAAUCAGUACACCCAUUAAUUAUACUAUUAACUUUUUUUAUAUGUUCAGCAAUGCUGUUUUUUGUAUUGGAGUUAAAAGGUAAUAUUCUAUAUAAGCAUUGAUCAAAAAGUGUUAUAAUAUUUCAAAGGGAUGCUAUUUACAUGGAGAUGUCAUGCAGCCUCAUGCUUAUCGAGUCAAAGAAACCACUCAGUAAGAGGAAAGAUUGCAAGCUUUCUAUUUCAAAAUGGUGUAUGUCAGUUAUAAAUUAUUUAUAUGAUACAGUUUAUUUUAAAAAAAUAGUUGAGCAAUUUCUCCCCCAACUCCUUUCUGCUUUGUUAAAUCACAGGUUUCAAAUGCUGGUCAGUACUUUUCCAGGAAGCUGUUAAUCACAGUACUAGAUAAGACUGAUUUCUAAAUAUAUUUUCAGAAUCUCAGAUUUCUAUUUAGCUUUUAGGUUAGAAUAUACUAGUCCACACUCAGCAUCUGACUCUCUUGUUUAAAGUGUGAAUACUGGAAAUUGCAGUGUUGCAAGACUGUAACUUCACAGCUGAAAUUGAACUGACCCAGAAAGCUGUGUUUUCUGACCUGUGUUAGAGCUCACAUCAGCUCCAGGUGUGAUCUUGCAGAAUGAGACCAUGAAGACUCCAUCUAAAACUUGAAAGCUUUCUCCUGCUGAGCAACUGAGCCCCCAGCCACAGCCAUCUCCUGGCAAAAGCAGAGACUCUGGUUAUCUCCUACCUUGGGGGAAAAUCUUCCCAGGGAAUUGAACCCCCACCUUGAAGAGUUCCUACAGCCUUGUUUAAGGGUUGUCCUUGAUGUCAAAUAUGUGCUGCAUUUUAAUAAUGUAGGCCUCUUGCUGUUAAACUCCAACUUGUCUAUUUUCAGGUCUGCGUUCAGUUGUACAUACAACUAAAACCUGUUUUACAUACAGGUUUAUUUUCUACUUGAAAUACAGAGUGUUUCCCUUGCAAUAUGUUUCAACAUGCUAAAAAUACCGCCUUAGUACAAAAAAAAAAAGGGUCUUCCUAUCACUACAGAGACAGGAGGCUUUGAGCACUCAUGGCUCUGCUGCAUCCCUCAGUGAGAGAGGGAACUCAGAUGUCACUUGAAAUUCAUCUAAUAGUAAUUUCAGGCCUCUGCCUGAGCUGAAUACUUAAUAUGCCCAUCACCUUCUCAAAAUCACAUUUAACACAGGGAAAAGGAUGUAUACGUGUGACCUCAUUACCCCAGAAAGAUUGACACAUGCAGAGAGAAUUGGGCAGUUCCUUUUGGAAGCAGGAAUGUGGCAGACAGAGGCAAGCUACCCUCUUGCAGAAUCUCACAAUGCAAGGUAUGGUUCAGUUCAUUUCCGUACACAUGGCUUAGUGUUCUUUAACCACUGAGGAUAGCGGCUUGUUCCAUUGUGUUCUUGUGACUUCUUCCACCAGCACUCUUAAGUCUCGCUUUUUGGAGCCCUUCGCUGUUACAGCCUGUCAGUUAUAAAAAAAAAAAAACCUGCAAAGGUCUCAUUUCCUCUGUCAGGAGCUUAAUGGAACCCCCAAACCCAUUAUUUUCUGCAAAACACAAGUUUAUCCACAGUUGAAACCUCACUAAUAGUAGUAUCUCAAGAACAAUAUGAAAAACAAUGAUUCUUACUCUUUUGCUAGGAAAAUAACCUCCACAGGUUAUGAUAGUAAAUUGCUUGAAGGCAGAUAUAAGGGAAUUGUGUUGGCCUCAGUUGAAUAUGAAAUAAUAAUACAGUAUCUGCCACACAGAACAAUUUAUUUUAUAACUGUACAAAUAAAACCAAAGAAAACUUCUACCCCUACCCCAAUAAGUAUACAAAAUAUGUGAUAUGUCAUACAUUUUUUCCCCUAUGUGUUUUGCUGUACAUCUUUGUGUUUUAUGCAGACUCUUUACCUUGGGAUUGAGUGUUGCUAUAAUAUCUGUGGAGAGGCAAACUUUUUUACAUUCUUUCAUAGCUGAUGCUGGGCAUGAAAACCUAACACUAGUAUAACUUUGCUUCCAUACCAAAAUAGACUAAAUUUAUUCUCAGGGAUAAAACAGGAAGCAAAUCUAAGGCAACUUAUUUUUAUGCCUUGUAGUAACCGGAGUGACAUACUGCUUUUGUUGAUCCACGUCAGAAAAGACAGGCUUCUCAUGAAGCUCAUAUGGUAUAAUUCACAUGCUUAAAAAAUAAUGACUGGUAGGUGAUGUUUUUUCUUCUUCCUGCCAAACCAGUAUCCCUGUUCAUUUGCCUUUUUCAGGGCCUGAUGGUCCACUUAGGCUCUGUUUUUAAACUUAUCCUCCUUUUGUUUCUCAUCUCAGGAGGACACUCUUCCUCUUUAAAGCAUCAUGCAGAUAUGUGAAAAAAAGUGUUCAACAUUGCAAAUUGUUCUCAUAAUGUCCAUCUCUUUAUAUGGUAAAUAUUUCCUGGUAAAGAACCAUGACAUACUAUGUCAUACAAAGAACCUCAUAAGACCUUGGUAAGGUUAAAUUUUUUUAAUGCUCACUGACAAUACACAAAAGCGCCUUCACAGUCAGGCCAGUCCAUUUGGUUAACAUAAACAGACGAGUGUUUCUUUGUAGCUCUAGCACAAGAGCUUGAUGUGGCUAACUCUGUCCAGGCUCCACAUUUAAAGUCCCAGUUAAUAUGAUGUCCUGGGCAGUUUUAAGAAGACAGGCAUAUUUCCCUUCCUGGUGCCAAAUAUCUUCUCUGUUAUGAUGUUGUUUAUAAUAAAGGUGUAUCAAACAUAAGUUACUGCCUAGAAAUAAAUUAACUAUAAAUGCUAUGGGGGAAAAAAAGAAAAAAAUCUUUAAUUUUCUUACUUUUCAACCCUAAGGAUGGUAACAUGACAUUAGUCUAAUUUACUGGUAUAAAAUGGUAUUCAAUCAAUGCUUGAACCUUUCCUUGAAUAUACCUCAAAUUUGUUUCAUCUACCAUUAUUGAAAAGUAGCACAUUUAAGUCUUAAUAAUUCUUUACACUAGAGUGCUAUUAAUGUCAUCAUUAUUAUUAUAGUUCCCUAUCUUCAAUACAUGGUAGCUGUUAGAAUUCAAGUACAAAAAUCAAUGGGAAAUUUGCAUUUGAUAUAAAAUAUUCUAAUCUAUCACAAUUAAUUUCCUUCCCUGAAUUAUGCUAAUUAUCCUCUUCCCCACCUGGGAAGAAACCCCUAUUGCAUUCUUGACUGGAUUUAGAUCUAAAGCUGGUUCCCUGAAGUGCAAAUCUUUGAUAAAAAUCCCAUACUUACUCUCUCUUUUCUUCUGUCUUUUGUACACACAGCACAGUGAGAAAUAUUAAAUGAAAGGUUUUGUUUGACCAACAGUUUUUGAAUACAGAAGACAUCUGGUUGUUCUUUAAAAAAAAAAAAAAAAAACAAGUCCCUCAGUUCUUGCCCAUGGGCAAUUAAGCUGUACAUAUGCAAUUUCAAUAUUAAAAGCAGCACUGAAAACCCAUUCAUGAUUGCUGAACAGUCAAAUACCUUUGACAUGCAGUUUUCUUUCAGCUUUUUCAAAAAUUAACUUAUCUCUUUCUGUUCCUAGAAUGAGGAGAAUUCAUCCCUGAAAGUCCUAAAAACUCUUCUUUAUGGAGAAAGUGUUUUAGAUAAAUGAUCAGUUAUUGUUUGAGGACUUGAACUCCUGUCAGUGAAAAAAUUGAAUGUUUGAUUUAUCAUGAGGACAAAUGAUUUAAUCUGUUGACAAUCAACAUCAUACUAAUCAUUGCUGUCUUUUCCAGACCUUUCCCAAAAUUGUAGAACAACAAAGUUUGCAUCAGUUACUACCAUUCACACUGUUUUAUGUAAGUCUUAGUUACCUCUAUUUUUUUGGCUUGCCCUGUGAAUUUUACUUAAGGAAUCCCUCUUUCCACACUUUUCCUCAUAUCUUACUGAUGUUGUGGUUAUUUCAGUUUAAAACACAUUCCCAAAUUCACUGAAAUCUUAAUGGCAAACACUCUCCUCUAAUUUUGCUCAUAGUGUGUGGUCAUGAAUCCUGGUCAGUCUGGGACCUUAAAAGAAGUAUAUGUACCAAAGCAAAGUGUUCCAUGGAAAACAACGGUUCAAUGUGAGGUCUUUAAGAAUGGGGCUUUAGUCUAAAGGUUUAGGCUGGUUGUAUAUGUGUCUCUUUGACUAUUUUUAAUGGCAGCUUUACUUGAUUAUCAAGUUACUAGCAACAACAGAAAAUAAUUAUUAAUGCUGACAUCUGCUCAAAUGCUAAGUUUCUUCCAAAUUGACAACCAGGAAAUGUACAUUAUUUCAUAUUUUUUCCCACUGUCUUAUGGUUAGUAUAUGAAAACUUUCUAGUGUAAUUUGUUAGCUCCCCCUUGUACAUUGCAUCUGGGGAAAUUUUAUUAAAGGUGAAAGAAAUAUCACCACAUCUUUCACUUCAGAAUUUGACUUGCGGUUUGAGGUUAUGAAGGUAAAAUGCAAGACAAAGUGGCUCUUUUGAUUGCAGCCAAAAGGUACGAGGGAAAAAAAAACUAGUUCCUUAAAUAUGUAGUUUUAUUGGAAUGUGUUUUCUUGAUAUUUUUGCUUUUGUAAAACAAAGAGAGUCACAGGUUGAGAGGCUACGUAACACAGGAACCGUUUUGGCAAUGAAGAUUCUGCUAGGCUCAAAGUGGCCUAGUGUUAUAGUACGUAAGUAGUUAGGUCAUCAGUGAUUAUGUAGUUUUGUUCACUCCUCUGACCUCAUUUAGUAUUUUUUUCUUAGCAAAUAACAGAUAACUACAGAAUAAUUAAUAUUCCUCUGGAAUUCCUUGCAAUUACAUUUUUUAACAAGGGAAAUGAUUGCUAAUAACCUACAGGGAACAGAUAGAAAGUCCUGUGUACUUAACAUGUACUUAUGUACUUAAAAGGCAAUAUAUUAGGCAAAUAACAAAAAGACAUUGCUCUCCAGGAAGUGGUUUUCUGUGAGUAUCCUUGUGUCUAUCUGAAGUUCAUUAAAAUAAAAGACUCUUUUGGUGGCAGAUUAGUACAGUUCAAACAAACACUGCUGGGACUGGAGAUUUCAUCCCUGUUUGAAUAAGUUUGCAUAGAAUGAAAAGAAGCUUUUGGACCCUGCUCUUUCUUGAGCAGAAGAGCCCCAGCCUCACUUACAUGCAAUGCAAUGGUCUUUGCCCAGAGCUCCACGUGCUUGUGUUUGCAGUGUGCUUAGCAUACUCAGGGUUGUCCUUUGAGUGUUCAAAUGGCAAUAGACUGUAUUCAAACAGUUCUCAGGAAAGAGCCUAAGAAAUGUGUAAGGUAAGCUGUGAAUAUGAAAGUUAUGGUGUGUUUCCAACUGUUUUGAUAAUGAGAUGCAACUUAAUUAAAGGGCUGUGACCAACAGAAAAAGAACUCCCAAGCCACAGGACACUGGCAGCACCGAUAUUGCCUUGUUCUUGUGCAAUUCUGAACCAUUUCAAAAAAGAUUUUACUGGCUGAAAGACUUUUCAUAGGCAUUAAGCUGGUUUAAUAGAGAGUCUUAGUAGUAUAGAGCUAGAUUUAUUUUGUCUAGUCAUACGGUUGUGGUAGUUCAGAACUGGCUUCAUAAUCAUGCCCACAGUAUCAGAUCUGAUGAGGAAAGUGUUCAUUAAAAUUGGAUUUCAGUUGGCUUCUUCCUCACUUUGAAAGAUAUUAAUUAGAUGCAUGACUAGAAAAUUGCAGCAAUUGAAGCUUCCACAUUAAAGAAUUUGAGACUUCUACUAUAUUUGCAAUUCAUGUUUCAAAGCAUACAACUGAUGCUAACAAAUGAGGUGUGGCUUAUUUUUACAUAUUCAUGCUUUUGAUCAUCUUUUUACCUUUGGGUGGAAAAGAAGGAUACCUGAGCUUCUUUACGACCAGGGGCAUCAGAGUGAAUGUGGUAAUACUGAGGGAGGUGACCAAAGAUGUGUAUUAACCCAAAAAGAGGAGCAUGUGUCUGGAGACACAUUUUCACUUGUGAUGGAAAAGUACAUCUGGAAAUAUCAUGCUCUGUGCCUGUUUCUUCUGUUGAUAAAUUGUACACAUGGCAAAGGCCAAUUCAGUUGCAUUGGUGUUGGUAUAUCACAGCAUGCUAGCAAUUUCUUAAGCAGGUGCAAUGCAAAUAGUAGAUAGGAUGGCUGGUAGGUUGUUUCUUGAGUUUUCAACUAGGUUUUCUUGUGUACAACACAUCCAUGUGUUAAUUGUCUCUGAUACUCGGACAGCAAAAGUUUGGAGUGUGUGUCUGUUUCUGUACUACAUAUGUGUGAACCAAACUGUGUGAUAGAUCAUGCUCAAUGCCUGUGCUUGGUUGUCCAAGCAGUGGCUGUUUUUGAAUUGCCAGUCUUAUCUUGAAGAAACAUGUCUUGUUCAGUUCAGAACCAGGUAGCUUAUCUCACUUCUGAGACUGCACAUCAACCUGAGGUCUGAAGUGAAAUGACUUCAGCGCUAUCAGAUCAAUUUGCUGUGAGCAGCCCACAUCACAAUACCAGCACACAUAAUUCAGCUGGCUUUGGCAUUUUGCUCAGGAGAGAGCUAGGCCUACAUUUGCAGGAGCACUUAAUUAUUUCUUCUCUCUGGAGACUGAGAGUCAGAAAAGAUGCCUUCAGGUCAGGGUUGAAGACUCAAAAGGAAGCCAGCAAUGAGGCAGCUAAAUUUUACUUCUGUACACCGAGCAUUCAACUCUUUUCAAGGCUAAAACAGUGAAGGUCAGGAGGCUAAUCUUCUCAAGAACAGAUGAUCAUAGAAAAUAAUGUGACACAUCCAAAGUUUACUUAAUAAUUGCUUUCUCUUAAAUUAGAGUCCUUUCUUUUAUUGGUAAAUAGUAGCAUUUUUUCUGUGAGUAUCCAAAGGUGUGGUUGUCCAGCUCAAAAGGGUUUUGCUCUGAUUUUCAUUUUUAGACACGAAUGUAUUGCCCUUCACAAACUUAUUUUAUGAUAAAGACAUGCUCGACUGUGUUUGACAUUUAGCAUUCAUGUAGCAAUACAGGUAUUGUUUUCCUUUAUUACUGAAAAUCAAGUUUUACUUUCAUUUCUGUAGUAAUAAAAAGCAGCUUUAGCAAUACCUCUGUCAAAACAUUCACCUCCUAGGCCACCAGAUUUGAUGUCAGUAUCUGCUUAGCAUUUUAAUUUCUACGUUAUCAAUACCAGAGGAAAGCAGAUGACAGUAAGACACUACAUUAUGCAUCUCACAAGUUACAAUAAAAUAACAGUUUGAAUUUGUGGCAUAUCUUGGAGUUUCUCCUUAAAUGUGUGCGAGUAAUAAAUCAGAUUGACAGGGAUCUUAAUAUUUACCGGGCUGUUGCAUCUAAAUGCUUCUUUAAGGUAAACACUGGUGUUUGUGCAGCACUUUUCAAUAACUGCUUUUAAUUUGGGCUGGUUUGGUAUUGACAGUGGUCAGGUGGAUUGGGUUUUUUUUUGCUUGUUUGUUUUUAACCCUGAGUGCCAUGAGUUGCUCUCAAAAUUGCCAACAAUUCUCAGUCUGUUAGUCAAGCUCUGCAGAGAGACUAAGGAUUGAACAGACCCAGAGAAGCUUAACUUUUUUCUGUCUCCCUCCUUUUUGCAGGUAAGGCUGAAAAGGCUGGUGAACGGAACUCGUUUGGUGUUGUUCUAUCUAUCAUUACGUGUGGAACUAUCUUUGCUGACAGACAGUGUAAGUGUAUUUAGAUCUUGUCCUUUAUCUAUGUACAAGUUGGUAGCAUGAUAUUUUGGGGUGUAACAGUUAAACCGGACAAAGACACACAAACCUUAGCUAGGUAGGAGUGUUGUAUUUGAUUCAUUAGUAUGUUUUAUCCAGUGAACGCUCCCUUCUGAAGGAAGGACACUCAGAAAUGGCACUGUAUAUGAUAAAGUAUAAGAUAUAAUGUUCUGUGCCCCUACAAUAACCACCAGUCUUCUACAGGAAAAAAAAAAAAAAAAAAAAAAAAAAAAAAUCCCACAUCUACUUGAUGAAGUUGAAUGCAAAUUUCAAAAAUUCUCCUGUACUCAGUACCAGCUUUUUUGUUGUUGUUAUUUGUUUUGCUUAUAAUAUGAAUACAGUUCAUAAAUGAAAAAGGAGCACUGACUUCGAAGUAAAGGCUUAACAUGACCCAAAGUAGAAACUUGAUAUAGAUUAUAAUGUGUCACUAGCUGAAGCAGCAUAGAUUGGAAGAACUCAUCAGAAUCAUCUUUUGUUUUGGGACCUGUGAAAUGGGUUAAAAUGCCCUAACUAAUAAUGAGAAAACUGCUUACAUUGUUGCUUUGUAAGAGAGUGAAAUAUUUUAAACAAUCCAAUUUUACAGAUACUGUAUUAACAAGAAGUCUUGUUAUUGUCUUUAAAUAGCUACUCUACAAAAUGUAACAACAAAGUAAUCACAGUCCAAGAAGUCACUCCAGAAUAAAGCCUAUUAGGUGUUAGUAUGGUUAUAUUUGUACUGCAGCCAGUGGACAAACAUUAAAGCUGAGAUAGUUUACCGUAAAUGUUGGAUUACAUACUGGACAUAAUUGUUUUCACAAUAAGUUCAUCUGCUUUGUAUUUGUUUGAUUCACUGAUAUUUCUCUAAAAGUACCACAGUAUGUUUUAUUGUGGUGUUUGUUCAACAAUUCUGCAAAAUUACAAAGCCUAAAGUUAACCUGCACAAUGAAAACCUGCCUUUCCUGAUGACUGGGUCCUACGCUUUUUUGUUUUAAUCCUUAUUAGCUCAGCCUUUUUUUAAAUUUUAUUUUUCUUUUAUUUUUUUCCUUCAGACAAUUGUGUUAGAUGUUGCUAAUUUGAGACAGAGAGAGUUAUUGAGUCAUUUAGAACAUCAAAUGCUUGGGUGGAUACAUACUGCAGCACAGACAUGAAACAUCACAUUUUUUCUGACGACUGUAAAGCUUGUUGGCAACUUUGUGAAACUACUAACACAAAAGGCACCCAUCAAAGGCCUUUUGUAAAUUAUCAUAAUAAAUACAUUCAUUGCUUUUACUUUUUUAACUGGUUAUUUCUGUACUUUUAUGUAUUGUGUCCUAGCAAAGUGAAUAUAGAUUACACUAAAUGAAAAAAAAAAGUGUUGCUGUGUGUAGGAAUUAACUGAGAACAGCAUGUUUUUAUCCUGAUCUGAGCCCACCUAAACCAGUUUUUAUCCUGAUCUGAGCUCACCAAAAGGAGAUUCAGUGCCUUUUACCAGGGUAUGAGAUAUCACCUAAGUGCAAAGAUCUGGAGCUAAACCUCUACAAAUAUCAGGAAGAAUUUGAACCAAAUACGACUGAUGCAAUGGCAUCAGCACUUCUGAGGUAAGGAACCAAAAAAAUAUGGUUGAUGAGAAGACUUAUGAUUUCACACACUGUUUAAGCACUCUGGAUUAAAGCACUGAAAUACAUGGCAAAAGAAGAGGAAUUGCCAAGCUUGCCUUCCUGGAAUUAGCAACUGCUGCUGCGAAGCAGAGUGAAAUUGUCAGAUUCACCACUGAUAGCAAGUGCUGUCUAUGAGCAACUUAUCUAUGCAGCCUUUGGUUUAGGGUACUGGCGGUCACUGUGCUAGUGUGGCAGAAAGUGAUCAAGGAUGCUGGGGGAGUGUGUGUGCGCAAGUGGUGUGGAGAGGAGAGGGCACAGAGUGCGUGGGGUUGUUGGACCUCAACAUCACUGGCAAUUAAAAUGAUCCGUGUGUGGUAACAAAACAAAGAAUAGUUUGGAAGAAUGUUGCAUGUAGGAAAAUAUAACUUUCAACAUCGAAAAUAAAUAAGUUCAGUUUAUUAAGAGCUGGUGUCAAUGUGGAACAAAAUACACAUCCGCCAGUAAAGAAACAUUUCGGUGAACUGUUCCUUUUUUUUUUUCUUCUUUUUUUUUUUUUAUUUUUUGAUUUACUAAAAUACAAGUUGGACCUUUUUUCUUCUGUUUUUUUUUUUCUUUUUUUCUUUUUUUUGCAAAUAUAUCUUUUGUCCCCCUUAAUUACAUGUUUUUAUAACUGUGACCAUCAUUCUCCUUUAAACCAAAGACUGAGGUUUGGGGGUUUUUAAAUUCUUAGGAGUCUGGCCACAUAUGCAGUUUUUUUCUUUGAUUUUUCUAAGGGAAAUACUUGACAAUGGGAAAAAAAAAAAAAAAGAAAAA